UACGAAGGAUCCAAGCGUUAUCCGGAUUUAUUGGGUUUAAAGCGCGCGUAGGCGGACCUGCAAGUCGGGGGUGAAAGCCCGAGGCUCAACCUCGGAACUGCCUUCGAUACUGCGGGUCUCGAGUCCGGGAGAGGUGAGUGGAAUUCCUAGUGUAGAGGUGAAAUUCGUAGAUAUUAGGAAGAACACCAGUGGCGAAGGCGGCUCACUGGCCCGGUACUGACGCUGAGGCGCGAAAGCGUGGGGAGCAAACAGG
rnacentral:rRNA from 1 species